UUGCUGGGAAAGUUGCAGUCAAUUUUAUAGCCUAAGAAUCUCAUCUUAAGAGAUGUAUUUAAUUGGAGGAAAUCAAAAUGCUAAAGUUUAUGAUGAGAAAGGAUUUUUCCUCAAGUAUUACUGUAUUGCACUGUAUUUUGUUUAUGUCAUUUGUUUAAGAGUGCAUAAUUGCUUUCUUUGUGUCAUUGUUUUUUUCAGAAUUUACAGACAUAAACUAAACAUGUUGAGCUGUGUUAUUCCUGAGCUUGAUGAAGGAAAUAUCUGUCCUGCUUGUCCCAAAACUGAUGGUGUGAUCUUUGAGUCUCUUGAUGCUCUUUUAUUGGACGAAGGAAAAAGCUGGGCAGAGUAUUGGAAAACCUCUAUUUGAACAGCUGAUGUUCUAUGAUCAGACACAUGUUGAUCAAUUUGUUGCCAAUUAUACCACACCUACAUCAAACAAGGAGUGUCAUGGUUUUCUUGCUGGGAAUGCUGUUCGAUCAAUGAAUCGCUACAGAGCUCUUGAUGAAACAGCAA